rnacentral:rRNA from 1 species
AGAACGAACGCUGGCGGCAUGCCUAACACAUGCAAGUCGAACGAGACCUUCGGGUCUAGUGGCGCACGGGUGCGUAACGCGUGGGAAUCUGCCCUUGGGUUCGGAAUAACAGUUGGAAACGACUGCUAAUACCGGAUGAUGACGUAAGUCCAAAGAUUUAUCGCCCAGGGAUGAGCCCGCGUAGGAUUAGCUAGUUGGUGAGGUAAAAGCUCACCAAGCCGACGAUCUGUAGCUGGUUUGAGA